rnacentral:rRNA from 1 species
AUUGAACGCUGGCGGCAUGCUUUACACAUGCAAGUCGAGCGGCAGCGCGGGGGCAACCCUGGCGGCGAGCGGCGAACGGGUGAGUAAUGCAUCGGAACGUAUCCUCUAGUGGGGGAUAACCCAGCGAAAGAUGGGCUAAUACCGCAUGAGCUCUGAGGAGGAAAGCGGGGGACCUGCGAGGGCCUCGCGCUGGAGGAGCGGCCGAUGUCCGAUUAGCUAGUUGGUGGGGUAAAGGCUUACCAAGGCGACGAUCGGUAGCUGGUCUGAGAGGAUGAUCAGCCACACUGGGACUGAGACACGGCCCAGACUCCUACGGGAGGCAGCAGUGGGGAAUUUUGGACAAUGGGGGCAACCCUGAUCCAGCCAUGCCGCGUGAGUGAAGAAGGCCUUCGGGUUGUAAAGCUCUUUCGGACGGAACGAAAUGGGCGGGACUAAUACUCCUGUCUGAUGACGGUACCGUAAGAAGAAGCACCGGCUAACUACGUG